UAGACGUUGUUAGCGUGACUGUUAAUUUUUUAAUUUUAAAACAAUAUUAAAUAUAUUUUAUUUUUCUUUAGGUAUCGUAAUUUAAUUAAUUUUUAUAGCUUCGAGAGUGUUCUAAUUUUUUUUCUUUAAUUUGUGAAUAAAAAAAUUGUGGUCUUUUGGAAAUUUUUUUUUUUGGCAUUUUAGUAAAUUUUUUGUUCCGGGAGUGUUCGAAAUUGUUAACAUCUGAUUCCUUUAGAGAAAGUAUUUUGUUUCUUAAUAUUAAACACGUGGUUUCGGGAGUGUUCGAAAUUUUUAAAAUCACAUGUAUUUCCGAUAGAUUAUAUCGUCCAAAAUAUACAUAUACAAUAUAUGAUUUGUAGGCUAAGGUGCAGUUCUAGUUCAACCAUACUGGUGUACAAAUCGGCCAUUUUAUUGAAGUAGCUAUACAUCAGAAGAAUCUGCGAACACUUUGUUGGAGUAAUCAUCGUUCGGUGCCGUUCCAGUUUAAUCAUGCUGAUGUAGGCCAUUUUUUAUUCUAUCCUCGAUGGCUGAUGAUGUCAAGUACUUCAAAGAGGGCUAUUUAGUUUAAAAAGAAUCUCCCUGAAGCUAAAAAAUUCGUUAUUAAGAUUAUGUUCGCUGUUUUUAACCUCAAACCCAAUGGCCUCUGGACGUAUACCAGGUGCGGUCACAUAUUGGAUCAGCAAAUUUGGAUUUUGUAAAUUUUACAUAUAAUUCAGAAUCAACGACUCUAAAAAUUUUGGAUAUACUCCUUGAUACACAAACCUAAUUAGUUAUGAAUUAGAUAUAUCAAAGGUUAAAUAAAAUUGGAAACAACUGUUAAUAAAAAAAUAAAAAUAUAAAUAAUAAUAAAAACUACGAUCAACUA